rnacentral:rRNA from 1 species
GACGAACGCUGGCGGCGUGCCUAACACAUGCAAGUCGAACGAAGCUCUCCGAUACAAGGCUUCGGCCAAGUUGAAGGGAUGACUUAGUGGCGGACGGGUGAGUAACGCGUGAGGAACCUGCCUUUCAGUGGGGGACAACAGCUGGAAACGGCUGCUAAUACCGCAUAAUGUUUCUGGACCGCAUGAUCUGGAAACCAAAGCUUUAUGUGCUGAAAGAUGGCCUCGCGUCUGAUUAGAUAGUUGGUGAGGUAACGGCCCACCAAGUCUACGAUCAGUAGCCGGACUGAGAGGUUGAACGGCCACAUUGGGACUGAGAUACGGCCCAG